AUUGAACGCUGGCGGCAGGCCUAACACAUGCAAGUCGAGCGAGCGGCGGACGGGUGAGUAAUGUAUGGGGACUGCCUGAUAGAGGGGGAUAACUACUGGAAACGGUGGCUAAUUCCGCAUACUAUCGGAUAACCCAUAUGGGAUUAGCUUGUAGGUGUGGUAACGGCUUACCUGGGCGACGAUCUCUAGCUGGUCUGAGAGGAUGAUCAGCUACACUGGGACUGAGACACGGCCCAGAGUCCUACGGAGGCAGGAGGGGGGAAUAUGGCACAAUGGGCGAAAGCCUGAUGCAGCCAUGCAGCGUGUAUGAAGAGGGCAUUAGGGGUGUAAAGUACUUACAGUCGGUCGGCGUUACGGGCAGAAGAAGCACCGGCUAACUCCGUGCCAGCAGCCGCGGUAAUUC
rnacentral:rRNA from 1 species